rnacentral:rRNA from 1 species
GACGAACGCUGGCGGCGUGCUUAACACAUGCAAGUCGAACGGGGAACCGCGAACCGAAGUUUUCGGAUGGAGGGGAGCGGUUUUUAGUGGCGGACGGGUGAGUAACGCGUGAGCGACCUGUCCUGCAGAGGGGGAUAACAACGGGAAACCGUUGCUAAUACCGCAUGAGACCACGGUACUGCAUGGUACCGGGGUAAAAGGAGAAAUCCGCUGUAGGAGGGGCUCGCGUCCCAUUAGAUAGUUGGUGAGGUAACGGCUCACCAAGUCGGCGAUGGGUAGCCGGACUGAGAGGUUGAACGGCCACACUGGGACUGAGACACGGCCCAGACUCCUACGGGUGGCUG